AUUGAACGCUGGCGGCAGGCUUAACACAUGCAAGUCGAGCGGAGAUGAGGUGCUUGCACCUUAUCUUAGCGGCGGACGGGUGAGUAAUGCUUAGGAAUCUGCCUAUUAGUGGGGGACAACAUUCCGAAAGGAAUGCUAAUACCGCAUACGUCCUACGGGAGAAAGCAGGGGAUCUUCGGACCUUGCGCUAAUAGAUGAGCCUAAGUCGGAUUAGCUAGUUGGUGGGGUAAAGGCCUACCAAGGCGACGAUCUGUAGCGGGUCUGAGAGGAGGAUGCGCCACACUGGGGCUGAGAAACGGCCCAGACUCCGACGGGAGGCAGCAGUGUGGAAUAUUGGACAAUGGGGGGAACCCUGAUCCAGCCAUGCCGCGUGUGUGAAGAAGGCCUUAUGGUUGUAAAGCACUUUAAGCGAGGAGGAGGCUACUGAGACUAAUACUCUUGGAUAGUGGACGUUACUCGCAGAAUAAGCACCGGCUAACUCUGUGCCAGCAGCCGCCGCCGUAA
rnacentral:rRNA from 1 species